ensembl:lncRNA
AUAGUCACUAUGAAAACGGUCUGGCAGUUUCUUAUAAAAUUAAAUGCAUGCCUACCCUGUGACCCAGCUCUUCUGUGUUCAGUUCUACUAAGUUAUCUACCCAAGAUAAAUGAGAGCAUAUAUCAGAAAAAGACUUGUCUAAGAAUGUUCAAAGGAAUCCAAAUGGAAAGCAGCUUACAAGCCUAUCAACAAGAGAAAUAAACUGUGGUAGAAAUAAAAAGAAAAAAAAUACUGAUACAUACAACAUACAUGCAUGCUGAGUCACAUGUCUGACUCUUUGUGACCCCCUGGACUGUAGCCCGCCAGGCUCCUCUNNNNNNNNNNNNNNNNNNNNNNNNNNNNNNNNNNNNAUUGUCAUUUCCUUCUCCAGGGGAUCUUCCUGACCCAGGAAUCAAACCCGCAUAUCCUGUGGUUCCUGAACUGCAGGUGGCAGGUGGAUUCUUUACCACUGAGCCACCUGGGAAGCCCACGUACAACGUAAAUGAAUCUCAAAACGUUGAUGACGAAUGAAAGAAGCCGACACAGAAGAAGAGACGCUUCGGGAAGCUCUGGAACAAGCGAAACUAACCUAUGGUCACAGAAGUCAGAACAGCGUUACCUCUGGGGGUGGGAAGGAAGGGAGUGAAGGCAGGGAUAACCGGGAAGUGGGUGUAAGGGAGUGUCUGGGGCAGGCGGGUGGGUUUGAAAUCUUGAUGGGGUCUGCGUCACAGAGGUGCAUGCAUUUGUCAGAAUACAAGGACUGUCAUACUUAGGGUUUGUACACUUCACCGUAUGUAACCUUUACUAGGAAAUGAAAAACUCUCAACCACAUAUUAAAUUUGAAUUAAUAAUAUGCAUGCCAAACUGCCAAGGGGUGAAAUGUCCUGAUGUCUGCAACUUAAUUUGAAAUCUAUCGAAGAACAAGAUGGAGUGAUGGAUGAAUCAAGGGAGGGAUAGAUGGAUUGGUAGAUACAUAGAUGAUUGAGCAAAGUGUUACAGAACCUAGGUGGUAUGUAUAUGUGUAUUUACUUAAAUUUUUCUCUUCUGUGUUUGAAAAAUUUCAUAACAAAAUAUUGAGAAAAUUGUAUGUUCAACUGAGAAUAUAGAUUGAUAGCUAAAAAUUGGAAGUCUUAAACAAUUUCAAAAUCAGUGAAAAUAAAUAAGAUGAAGAAAAUUGAGACCUGCCUGAAACUGAACGAGGUGAGUGACAUGUCCCCAUCCUGGGGACUCUGCCAUGAACCUGGGCGUGAAAAGGAUGUUCCACUUCAAACCAGAGCUAUGGAAUUGUAGACAGCAGCUGCCAAUCUUAGAAGCAUAAGAUUUACGUAGGUAACUAUUUAAUACACUGAUUUUAAUAAUUUUAUUGAUUGAUUUUGUGUAUUAUGGAGUUAUAAAUGAACCUAAAUCCUGAUGUCUCUUCUGGGAGAAAAACUGAAAUAACUUUUUUAAAAAACGGACAAUCACAAGGCUUUUAAGCAGUUAAAAUGAAUCAAGGCCAGGAUGACUGCAAUGACAAGCUACUAAGCAAAGAAAUACUAGAUACCUCCUUCAGUAUGCCCUUCAGAGUCACCUUGGGAGAGUGUGAACAGACCUUGGGUAGAAAUGUCUAAUCUGCUUUUGUCAUCAUGGAAGGAUAGAGUUAUACAAGAUAUCCAUUGUAAUUGACCACCAGAUUGCCCAGUAUGUGAGCUGGGUGUGUGUGUGUAGGGGGGCGGUCAUCCUUGAUGCUUCCUUUUCUCUCAUCUUCACAUCUAGUCCAUUAUCAAAUCUUGUAAAAUCUCAUUUCUAAACCCUUCUGGGAUUACCCACUUCUCUCCACUGUCAGAGUACAGGCUACCAUCAGUUCUCAUCUGAACUCUGACCUCGGCAAUAACCUUCCCAACUUAAUCCAUUUUCAACUUUUGAAUCAGGAUCCUGCAAAACUGUACAUCUAAUCCUGCCACUUUCCUGCUUAAAACUCAUACUUCCCACCUGGUCUUGGCGUCAGCCCCAUGUGACGACCUGGCUAGGAGAGGCUGCAGUGUGGGCUGGCCCUGCAGUUCCCCAGACGCACCCUUGACCCCUGCCACUCUGCCCUGGGCUCCCCGUUUGUGGGCUGCGCUGCCACCCCCAUCUCUCUGAUUUUCCCAUGCUCUUUGCUACCACACAUAUACAAGCCUGGAAGCUUCCAGUCCACUCUCUUCCUUUUGCCCAUCUGUCCUCCAAAUCUGAGCUGAGGGAGGUUUCUCAGGGAGGCCUUCCCAGGUAUUUCCUGCCCAUCCCAGUCCCUCAUGAGGCUAGGUUCUAGUUUCACAGGUUCUCAGUGGGCUUAGCCUUUAUUGCGUUUUAUACAGUUCAUAACGCUGUACUUAUUUCAUUGUCUGUUAUCCUUCACAACUACAAGUCCCACUUAUAGCAGGAGCAGUGUCUCACUUGAUUACCCUUGUAAACUUGACUACCCUAGUACUGAGUGCUAACACAGUAACUGCAUGCAGAAGUACGCUAAAUAUCAGUGCACACAAGAGUGAGAUUAAUCAGGUUCUUCACCUUACAGCUUGUGGUGAAAACACUAUUAAUGAUUAGCCCAUCAUACUUAAUACUGAUGUCUCUAAAGUUCUUCAUGGUACGGUUCGGUUCAGUUCAGUUGCUCAGUUGUGUCCAACUCUUCGCAACCCCAUGGACUGCAGCACGGCGUGGCUUCCCUGUCCAUAACCACCUCCCAGAGCUUGCUCAAACUCAUGUCCAUCAAGUCAGUGAUGCC